rnacentral:rRNA from 1 species
AUACGUAGGGAGUGAGCGUUGUCCGGAAUUACUGGGUGUAAAGGGAGCGUAGGCGGGAGUGCAAGUCAGAUGUGAAAUACAUGGGCUCAACCCAUGGGCUGCAUUUGAAACUGCAUUUCUUGAGUGAAGUAGAGGUAAGCGGAAUUCCUGGUGUAGCGGUGAAAUGCGUAGAUAUCAGGAGGAACACCGGUGGCGAAGGCGGCUUACUGGGCUAUUACUGACGCUGAGGUUCGAAAGCGUGGGGAGAAAACAGGAUUAGAUACCCUGGUAGUCCACGCUGUAAACGAUGAUUACUAGGUGUGGGGGGACUGACCCCUUCCGUGCCGCAGGUAACACAAUAAGUAAUCCACCUGGGGAGUACGGCCGCAAGGUUGAAACUCAAAGGAAUUGACGGGG